GACGAACGCUGGCGGCGUGCUUAACACAUGCAAGUCGAACGGAAAGGCCCUGCUUUUGUUGGGUGCUCGUGUGGCGCACGGGUGUGUAUCACGUGAGUAUCCUGCCCUUGUCUUUGGGAUAUCUUCACGAAACUCGGGCUCAUACCGCAUAGGAGCUCCUGCUGCAUGUUGUUGUUUGGUAAGUUUCGGCGGUUGGGGAUCGACUGGCGGCUUAUCCGCUUGUUUGUGGAGUUGUUGAUUACCAAGGCUUUGACGGGUAGCCGGCAUGUGAGGUGGACCGGCGACAAUGGGACUGAGAGAGGGACCAGACUCCAACGGGAGGCAGCAGGGGAGAAUAUUGCAGAAUGGGGGGAAGCCUGAGGCAGCAACGCCGGGAGCGGGAUGACGGCCUUCGGGUUGUAAACAGAUGUCGAAUGUGACGAAGCGUGAGUGACGGUAAUGGGUAAAGAAGCAACGGCUAACUACGUG
rnacentral:rRNA from 1 species